UACGUAGGUGGCAAGCGUUGUCCGGAUUUACUGGGCGUAAAGAGCGCGCAGGCGGUCGUUCAAGUCGCGUGUGAAAGCCCCCGGCUCAACUGGGGAGGGUCACGCGAUACUGAUCGACUCGAAGGCAGGAGAGGGUAGUGGAAUUCCCGGUGUAGUGGUGAAACGCGUAGAUAUCGGGAGGAACACCAGUGGCGAAGGCGACUACCUGGCCUGUUCUUGACGCUGAGGCGCGAAAGCUAGGGGAGCAAACGGG
rnacentral:rRNA from 1 species